CAGUAGCCACGGGAAUACAGAGGGUGCGAGCGUUAAUCGGAUUUACUGGGCGUAAAGCGUGCGUAGGCGGCUUCUUAAGUCGGAUGUGAAAUCCCUGAGCUUAACUUAGGAAUUGCAUUCGAUACUGGGAAGCUAGAGUAUGGGAGAGGAUGGUAGAAUUCCAGGUGUAGCGGUGAAAUGCGUAGAGAUCUGGAGGAAUACCGAUGGCGAAGGCAGCCAUCUGGCCUAAUACUGACGCUGAGGUACGAAAGCAUGGGGAGCAAACAGGAUUAGAUACCCGCGUAGGUCCCUGUCUCUUAUA
rnacentral:rRNA from 1 species